CAGCAGCCGCGGUAAUACGAAGGUCCCAAGCGUUGUUCGGAAUCACUGGGCGUAAAGGGAGCGUAGGCGGCGUGGUAAGUCAGAUGUGAAAUCCCGGGGCUCAACCCCGGAACUGCAUCCGAUACUGCCAUGCUUGAGGGUUGGAGAGGUAGCUGGAAUUCUCGGUGUAGCAGUGAAAUGCGUGGAUAUCGAGAGGAACACUCGUGGCGAAGGCGAGCUACUGGACAACAACUGACGCUGAGGCUCGAAGGCCAGGGUAGCGAAAGGGAUUAGAUACCCCCGUAGUCCCUGUCUCUUAUAC
rnacentral:rRNA from 1 species